rnacentral:rRNA from 1 species
UACGUAGGGUCCGAGCGUUGUCCGGAAUUAUUGGGCGUAAAGGGCUCGUAGGCGGUCUGUUGCGUCGGGAGUGAAAACUUACAGCUUAACUGUGAGCGUGCUUCCGAUACGGGCAGACUUGAGGUAUUCAGGGGAGAACGGAAUUCCUGGUGUAGCGGUGAAAUGCGCAGAUAUCAGGAGGAACACCGGUGGCGAAGGCGGUUCUCUGGGAAUAUCCUGACGCUGAGGAGCGAAAGUGUGGGGAGGCGAACAGG